AUUGAACGCUGGCGGCAGGCCUAACACAUGCAAGUCGAGCGGAUGAAGGGAGCUUGCUCCUGGAUUCAGCGGCGGACGGGUGAGUAAUGCCUAGGAAUCUGCCUGGUAGUGGGGGAUAACGUCCGGAAACGGGCGCUAAUACCGCAUACGUCCUGAGGUCGAAAGUGGGGGAUCUUCGGACCUCACGCUAUCAGAUGAGCCUAGGUCGGAUUAGCUAGUUGGUGGGGUAAAGGCCUACCAAGGCGACGAUCCGUAACUGGUCUGAGAGGAUGAUCAGUCACACUGGAACUGAGACACGGUCCAGACUCCUACGGGAGGAAGCAGUGGGGAAUAUUGGACGAUGGGCGAAAGCCUGAUCCAGCCAUGCCGCGUGUGUGAAGAAGGUCUUCGGAUUGUAAAGCACUUUAAGUUGGGAGGAUGGGCAGUAAGUUAAUCCCUUGCUGUUUUGACGUUACCAACAGAAUAAGCACCGGCUAACUUCGUG
rnacentral:rRNA from 1 species